rnacentral:rRNA from 1 species
UACGAAGGGGGCUAGCGUUGUUCGGAAUCACUGGGCGUAAAGCGCGCGUAGGCGGAUUGUUAAGUCGGGGGUGAAAUCCCGAGGCUCAACCUCGGAACUGCCUUCGAUACUGGCGAUCUUUGAGUCCGGGAGAGGUGAGUGGAACUCCUAGUGUAGAGGUGAAAUUCGUAGAUAUUAGGAAGAACACCAGUGGCGAAGGCGGCUCACUGGCCCGGUACUGACGCUGAUGUGCGAAAGCGUGGGGAGCAAACAGG